CCUCAAGUCCUCGACAGGACCUGCCCAAGAGCUCAGCUACCGCGAGGAGGUGACUCACCGGGGGCGGAGACAGGAGGAGUGGCACCAACUGUGAGUAGUUAAAAACCUACCCAGGGAGCGCGGCGACCAGAGCGGGUCGAGGCAGUUUGCGCAAGCAGGCGAGCAGGAUGGUGAGCACUCGCCGUACGACCAGGGUCUGAUCUGGGAGCUCUGCCUUGGCUGACCCGGUGGUGGCCAGCGUAGGCACCCAGACAGAGCCGAUACCUAUGCAACAGUAAGGAAAAGAAGUGAGCAAAGGAGAUAUGAGGACACUCCAGUACUUCCUCAAGGAGUCAAGCACCUGUCAAGUUGUAUUGUUGAUACACCCCAGCAAUGAGACACUACAAAAGCUGUUCAAAGAAGAACAUAUUUUUCCUGAGCAUUGUUCUGGGGAAAAAAACCCACAACCUCAAAGCGAAUCUUUUCAGAAAGUUGAAGACAAGAAUGGUUGGAAGAAUAUUGUCAACAGAGAUGAAACAAUACAACAGUUAUUGAAGAUAUGUGUAAGAGGCUCUGCAAGUCUUUGUCUCUUGGAUCCAGGACAAUUAUGGAUAAGAUGGACCAAGAACCAAUGAAGAAAGAAGAUUCUUGAGAAGUUUGGGUUGCCCAGCAGACCAUGAAGAAACAUGCAUUUGAAAAGGGUGUAUGCAAAAAAACAUGCUAGAACAUGCAGAUAACUGAGUUUAUAUCAAAUUGAGUGGGAUAAAUGGCUGGUUUUUGCCUGUUUAUGUCUGU
rnacentral:lncRNA from 1 species